rnacentral:lncRNA from 1 species
UAGUAUGUUUCUAUCACCUUAAUGAGGCCGCAGAUGGAGUCAGAAUGUGAAAUUACAAAUAAUCACUGGAUCCAUCUACUGUUUUCCAUCACCUUCCCCACUGAUGCUCUGGGCGAGAGAGUGAUGUGUCACUUCAACUGUGUGUAAUAUGUCAGACACGUCCUACAAUAACAGGCGUCAUAUUUGUAUUAUUUUUAGUUUACUGUAGAAAAUAAUGUCACCGCCAAAGGUGAUGAGAGUCACGUUUUGUAGGAUCUGUUUUCUUAUACUUAAAGACAGACUUCUGCUACGGUAAUUGCCAGUAUUCAUGGCUUCCUUUCUGUGUCAGAAGAGAAGGGAUCUGCUUUCUCUUGGCUGAUUUCACAUAGCAUUGGUAAUAGACAUGCAUUUCUCUUUCUAAAGGGGAGUAACUUUUUAAACCCUUCCUGAUUUUAGCCUGGCAAUGUAAGUGUCCUUAAUGUGACUGUUUUGAUAAUUAAAAAAAGGUAUAUAAUUUAUUUAAAUCUUCAUUUCCUUUCUUUUCAGAAGGUCCCCAAAUCACAGUUAACUCAUUCAUUGACGCAUUCACUCAACAACUAUUCAAUGAGGCACUCUCUAGAGACCAAGGAUAAAUAAGGUAGCCAGUCUCAUAGAGAUAUGAGGAGAUGGAAAUUAAUCAAAUAAUUCAAGCAAAUGGCAUCUUGCAACUUGUGCUGAGUAUAAUGGUGAAAAGGCAAAUGAUGGCAUGAGAGCUUAUAGUAGGGAAAUUUGGCCUAUUUGGGGAGAUCAGCCUACCUGAGGAAGGAAUGUUUUAGCUAAAAUCUGAAGGAUGAGUAUUACUUAACUAGUGAAUGCGGGAGGAAAGAGCAUUCUAGGCAGAGAACAGUAUGUGCAAAGGUCCUGGGGCAGGAAAAGCAGAGCAGGUUUAUAGAACUUAAAGGAGAACUGUAUGACUGUGCCAUAAAAAGUACAGAGAAGUAAGGCAUGAGUUACGGUUGGACAAGCAGGCAGGGGCUAGGCUGCCUGGAGCCUGUGGGCCAUGGUAGAGUUUGUCUGUAUCCUAAGACCUAAGCCACAUAAGGGUUCUAAGCAGGAACCUGGUAAGAUCACAUUUAAUUUUAAUUUUUUUAUUUUUAUUUUUAUUUUUGAGAUGGAGUCUUGCUUUGUUGCCCAGGCUGGAGUGCAGUGGCUCAACCUCAGCUCACUGCAACCUCUGCCUCCUGGGUUCAAUCAAUUCUCCUGCCUCAGCCUCCUGAGUAGCCAGGAUUACAUGUGUGCCACCAUCACGCCUGGCUAAUUUUUGUAUUUUUAGUAGAGACGGAGUUUCUCCAUGUUGGUCAAACUGGUGCCGAAUGCCUGACCUCAAGUGAUUCACCAGCCUCGGCCUCCCAAAGUGCUGGGAUUACAGGAGUACGCCACAGCGCCCAGCCACCAAAUUAAUUUUUAAAGAUCACUAUGAUCGCUGUGUGGAAAAUGAGCUGGGAGUGGUGGUGGAUACAGUUUUUGUUUUUGUUUCAGUCUUUCCCUACUCCAUGAAACAUUUGCGCUAUAUAUGCGGCCAAAUGGAAUGUUUCUCUUUUCUCCCCUCCUCUUCCUCUUGGGAAGUCACC